rnacentral:rRNA from 1 species
CCUACGGGUGGCAGCAGUGGGGAAUAUUGGGCAAUGGAGGCAACUCUGACCCAGCAACGCCGCGUGAGCGAUGAAGGUCUUCGGAUUGUAAAGCUCUUUAAGCGGGGACGAAGAAAGUGACUGUACCCGCAGAAUAAGCCUCGGCUAACUACGUGCCAGCAGCCGCGGUAAUACGGAGGAUGCGAGCGUUAUCCGGAUUUAUUGGGUUUAAAGGGUGCGUAGGCGGAGCGUUAAGUCAGUGGUCAAAUUGAGGGGCUCAACCCCUUCCCGCCAUUGAAACUGGCGCUCUUGAGUGGAAGAGAAGUAUGCGGAAUGCGUGGUGUAGCGGUGAAAUGCAUAGAUAUCACGCAGAACCCCGAUUGCGAAGGCAGCAUGCCGGCUUCCGACUGACGCUGAAGCACGAAAGCGUGGGGAUCGAACAGGAUUAGAUACCCGGGUAGUC